UACGAAGGGUGCGAGCGUUAAUCGGAAUUACUGGGCGUAAAGCGUGCGCAGGCGGUUCGUCGUGUCCGAUGUGAAAGCCCCGGGCUCAACCUGGGAAUGGCAUUGGAAACUGGCGGACUCGAGUGUGGCAGAGGGGGGUGGAAUUCCGCGUGUAGCAGCGAAAUGCGUAGAGAUGUGGAGGAACACCGAUGGCGAAGGCAGCCCCCUGGGUUAACACUGACGCUCAGGCACGAAAGCGUGGGGAGCAAACAGG
rnacentral:rRNA from 1 species